rnacentral:rRNA from 2 species
CACCCGUGUCUAUCGUACCUUGUUGCUUCGGCGGGCCCGCCGUUUCGACGGCCGCCGGGGAGGCCUUGCGCCCCCGGGCCCGCGCCCGCCGAAGACCCCAACAUGAACGCUGUUCUGAAAGUAUGCAGUCUGAGUUGAUUAUCGUAAUCAGUUAAAACUUUCAACAACGGAUCUCUUGGUUCCGGCAUCGAUGAAGAACGCAGCGAAAUGCGAUAAGUAAUGUGAAUUGCAGAAUUCAGUGAAUCAUCGAGUCUUUGAACGCACAUUGCGCCCCCUGGUAUUCCGGGGGGCAUGCCUGUCCGAGCGUCAUUGCUGCCCUCAAGCACGGCUUGUGUGUUGGGCCCCCGUCCCCCUCUCCCGGGGGACGGGCCCGAAAGGCAGCGGCGGCACCGCGUCCGGUCCUCGAGCGUAUGGGGCUUUGUCACCUGCUCUGUAGGCCCGGCCGGCGCCAGCCGACACCCAACUUUAUUUUUCUAAGGUUGACCUCGGAUCAGGUAGGGAUACCCGCUGAACUUAAGCAUAUCAUA